rnacentral:lncRNA from 13 species
GCAUGAACCAGCUGCCUCCUCACCUGCCUGGGCAUCCCCCCCUUCCCAGCUCGGAAUGCUCAGCCGCUGUGGAGACACUUCCCUGGCAGGCACGGCCACGCUCCCAGGAGGGUGUGUGCCUGUCGGUGUGAGUGUCUUUGCUGUCUCCUCGGAUUAGGCAGCCGAGGACAGGAGCUGGAUGCAGACAGCCUGCUGGCAGAGAGGCAGCCUGAGCUGGCUCACCCUGCUUUUUGAGCCUGCAGCUUCCCGGGAUGGCCCUGAGCCCUGGAGAUUUUAUGUCGCUGUCCCUUGUGGGUCUCGUUAGCCUAGAGCCUGUGACAAACCCAGCCGUGGCCACCGUAAGGGACCCAGAGGGGUUCGCCACGGGCUUCCUGCCUGACAGGGGAAGAGGUGGCUGCGACCAACAGGGAAAAUCCCCUUUACCAUAAUCUCACACCUCCCUGGCUGCCCUAACAAAGCCCGUGCUCAGGGGAGCACAAACCCACCCUUUCCUGGGGUUGCUUGGACUGGCCUUCCUCAAUUCCUUCUUUGUUUUUCAUUCCUGAGCUGUAACACAGGCAAGAAAGGGGAGCUCUAACCAGGAUCCCUGGAGGCAAGGAAGCUAUUGUCCUAAAAACAAAGGAACUUUUCCUCACAUGCACCAGCAACAAUGGGAAGUGCCCCAGAGCCUUUACUUCAUCCUGGACUGGAUUUCCUGAUGUUUUCCAGGAUGCUUGUCUGGUCUGGUUCAGCCAGAAAUGGCAAACUACGUAUUCCCUCUCGCCAAUCCUAAAAAAAGUGGUGCUGCUGCUUGGCUCAGGAGCAGGAUGGAGCAGGCAAGCAGAGCUGGUGCAGUGUUCAACAGGGUUUUCUACGUGGAUAUGAGGAGAGUGAUUCAAGGCGACGCUGGGCUGGGAGCAGACCCAGAGGAUGUCAUUUUCCCCUUUGGCUGGCCAUAAAAACCCAGCGGAUCACAGGUAGAGCGAGCAAAGCUGCAGCUCAGCACACACCAUGUUCCUUACGUAAUGGUGCUGUGACGGCCAUUGGCACAGGAGCCGGGAUUUAUGUUCCGGGGAAAUGUCUAAAACAGCAAGUGUAGGAAUUCGGUCUCCUUGGUGACGAAACCAACCAAUGGAAAACACACAAAAAAGAGGAAUCUAAACCCAUCCUUGGGCCUUGCUUUUAUUUUCAGAGUGGAGGAGAGCGAAUUAGCCUGUCCUGUGGCUACGAGCAGGAUGUGAGCGUGCCUGGCAUGGCUCUGGCCUUCACCCAAGCCAUCCCAAAACAGACUCAGCUAUCCAGGAGCUUCUGUGGAGAGGAGAAUUAGGAUUAAAAAGCCAGGUAUCUGUAAUGAUAGACCUUCCUAGGGGCCCUGUGCACUGUCCUUACCACACAAUCUCCCCCUCCAGCCUCCCAGUAAUGGUGCUGAGCUUGGGUAUAAAGUAACUCCUGCCCUUCCUGCAGAGGCCUGGAUUAAACCCAGCACUAACAAAAGUUAAACUGCCUGUAUUAACACAAAGGUGGGGAAAACCAGCCACCACUGGAGAAUCCCCUUCCAGAGACACACGAGCUGCUGUAGCCCACAUGAUCCACAGCAAAGAGGCAGCUGCUCUCCUUUAAAGCCAUCCGAGCCUCUCAGGGAGGAGUCAGACUUU